CGCGCAGAUGGGCCCAGCCACCCAGCGGGGCGGCAGCCCUGAGCACACAAGUUUGGAGAGCGCGCGAGGCACCUGAAAGUGGUUGGGGUUUGGAAGCAAAAGGGUGACACCUGCUGUUCGCUGGGACCGCUCUGCGGGUGUGGGCGUCGGUUUGGAAACGUCCUUUGCCUGAGCUCUGCUUGGUGAGUGGGCACUCGCUCUUGGUGUGAUUCUGGCGCAACUGGCACCCAAGUGUGAGCAGCAGUCCUAAGUGCUGAGUUCUUUCCUCACUGACAGGGUCGAGAGAGCAGCAGCAACGUGAUAGGAAAGCCCGCAGACAUUUGUCAACUGGCUGGGCCCAAAAGACCAUAUUCGUCUUCCAUUACUUAACUUGGGAUUGAAGGUUUACUCGCUGCUGUAUUGUGAACCAUUUCCCUAGAAGUGGGCCAGCAGAGCCAGGGACUCUUGUCCCAAAGUUGAUGCCGAUCUCUAGCAGCUACCCAGCAUAGUCUCUCGGCUCCAGCUUAAAAGGUUGGGCUCUCCAAGCUCUGAGUAACCGAUUCGCAGGUCCUUAGUCCUCUUUGCAGAGAAACUGAUCUGCUGCAGAGUUAAGAAAAGAAGCAGUUCUUCUUUUGACAAGAAUCCCCCACACUUACAGAUUCAUGUGCCAUAAACGGACCUUUUCUUCAAAAGCUGAACUGCUUUCUGUGUGCCCCCAGUCUGUGACCUCCUAAUGGAAUGAAUUGCAGGGAGGAAGCAAGAACCUGGGUGCCAGAGACUACCUGGGACAGCUCUACUGACAUCAUCAGCACGUGAUUCUAGCCUCAUUAACUCUAACUUGGGAAAAGUGCUUCUGGAGGAAAGGGAAGAGAUUCUAAGGCUGUGUGCCCCAUUCUUAUUACUCUAUCUCAGUGGGUCUCAAUCCCGGCUACACAUUGGAAUCACUUGGAAAGCUUUAAAAAUAAAACCAAACCUGUGCUUGGGCUCCACCAUAGGUGUUCACCACAGCUGUCAGUAUAAAUCAAUGCAUCUUGGUUCCAUUCUUCAUCAUUUGCUGGUAGCUAAAUUAUGUUGUCCUGAACACCUGCGGAGGUAUUUUGUGCAGGAUGGUUUACCACAUUGGCCUUGGGAGUUGAGGAAGCACCAGCUUAGGUUCUGCCACGUGCUCUUUCCUGACAGCGAGUGCUGCUGGCUGCUGACGCCUAGAAUCUCAGCACGGGAGCUGCCUUUGUCACAGACCUUGGUUCCCCAUUCAAUCGAGCACCUGUGCAGUUGCCCUGUGGUCUAGCAUCCCAGGCUCAGCAGUGACAGCUCCUGAUGGGCUUUCACCUGACUUUCUAAAUCAGUGCUGUUCUAAAUCUGUGCUAAAUCUGGUGACCAGCCAGAGCCUGGUCACCCCUGCAUGGAGUAGGAGUGAAGCUUAUGAAAAGGUGAGGUGCCAAACACACAGAGGAGAACACGGAGGAGGCCAUAUUGUAAUAAAGAGAAAGCAAGCAGUCAGAAGUCACCCCAUAAAACACCUUCCACCCUCUGAGCAUGACCAGCAAAGCGGUUUCUUCUUGCGGACACUGCAUCAGCCCAGCUCAAAGUGCAUUCCAUUCUGAUGAACAUCCACAAACAGUUAUGA
ensembl:lncRNA LINC01231 long intergenic non-protein coding RNA 1231